GGGUGCAAUCAUGCCAAGAACAAUGCAUCGAAUCCCAUUAGAACUCCGCAGUUAAGUGUGCUUGAGCAAGAGUAUUACUAAGUUGGAUGAUCACUUGGGAAGUCUUAAAGUUCGAAAG
rnacentral:rRNA from 1 species